GGUCACUGUAGUAAAGGAUGUGAGUACAAUUGUUCUGACUGUGUGUUCCUGUGUUUGUAGGUCAGCAGAACCAGCCUCAGAGCUUGAUGACAGACUACAGUAAGGCCUGGGAGGACUACUACAAGAAACAAAGUCAGUCGUCUCAGCAGAGUUCGGUGCCAGACUACACUGCAGCGUUAGCAGAAUACUACAGACAGCAGCCCUACCUGUGGAACCCCGCCCAGAUACAGGAUCACUAGAGGCUCCUCCCUCGCCGGUGAAGGCCUCGGAUGGUCGUCGACGGCAACCGAAUCGGGGUUUCCUAGCAACGCUCUGCCGCUUCCUCCUUCCUUUUGUAGAGAAAAACUAAGGAUUAACUGAAAAAUCACGAACUCUUUUCUUUCUGUUUUUUAACCUUACAAAGUUGAUAUUUUGUCGGGCAGAUUUUUUUGGACUAGCCUCUGGUCUCUCCACAGUGUAGACCUGGUUUUUCUUUUUGUUUUGUUUUUUAUCAAACUUGAACUUAAAGAUGUAUCAGUGUGGCUUUGAACAAAAAAAAUCCAGUAUAAUCUAUAUUUUGUCUAGUUUUAUUUUCCAAUAAGAAAACGGUAUAAGGCUUAGCAGUCUUGAGUAAGAAAAUCAGAUAUUAUUAUUAUUAUUAUUAUUUUGUUUAUGAUAAUGUUUUAAAGCAUGCGUCAGAUUGUGUGUGUUGACUCUCAGUUAUUAUUUUUUUUUAUUUUGGCAUAGAAAUAUUUUAAUAGCGUCAGAUGGAAAUUUAAUGUUUUACCGUCAGAGACAAAAACUGUUUUUUGUACUAAAUUUGUGCUCGCUGGGUCUGUUUGUUCUCGAUCUAAUUUUACCUGUUAAGUCGCCAUCUUGGAGGUGCAAUGACGCGUUUGUUUUCUUUUGGUUUGAUGAUAGUUCUUAUACCUGUAUCUCUAUAGUGAUUCUUUAGUUUUUAUGAUGUAAUGAUGAAUAAAUGACGAUUUAUAUUGCGUUGUCUAAAGCCAGAUCUCUCUGUGGUCAAACACAGGAUUUAACCUCCAGCUGACACCAUGUUUCCCCGCCUCAACUUUCAUUACAAAAAGGCGGGAAAUGACUAUUUUCUUACAAAGUGAAACUUUAUUAUUGUUGUUGUAACUUAGUUCUGCAUUUCUACUUUUGCCGAUUUGUUUGUGGAAGAAGUGUUCGGAGCUGAACAAUGAAGUUAUCGAUUCUAUUAGCGAUGUGAUGGCUAACCGAGCGCGUUAGCUAAAUGCGCGAGUUAGCUAAAUGUUUGUUAGCAAAAAGAUGUGCGUUACCUCAACUCUGUGUGUGUGUUUGUGUGUGUGUGUGUGUGUGUGUGUGUGUGUGUUAGCUGUUUAAUUAGCUGAAUGUACAACCGAAAGAUGUUUUGUCUGAACAAUGUGUUUGUGUUAGCUUUGUGAGCAUCGAGUUAUCUUUUACUGAACAUGCGCGUUGUUAAUUUUAGUUGUUUGAGUGAAUGUGUCUGUUUCUGUUUGUUCGGUGUUUGUUAGCUAUUAGCGAAACCUGUGCACUCACAACAUAAAGUACAGACAGUCGAUGGCUGAAUGAGGAAAACUAAUUCUAGUGGUGAUUCCAAAUCGGAGAUAUUGUGAAUUUCUUGAGAUAUUUCCCAUUUUGAAGAUAAAGUAAACAACCCAGUGACAAAAUGGCUCCAAAGAACCUCCACUGGCAUUAACAUCUGAAUAAAACCCAACACAAACACUAAUAUAAUCUAUUUUGCUAAUUAAAAAGAAGCUAUGCACUGUUUGCAUUUAAUUUUACUAGCUAUCGAACUGCCAUAAUGUAAAAACUAAUUAUAAUAACUCAAUUUAUUUGGCGUAACUGUAAACGGGGUUACGGCUUUGAAUAUUUUCUGUGAAUGUGACGUUAGCUGAACAGUGUGUGGUGGUAUGAACGGGUUAGCUUCACUUUGUACAUUACGUCUCAGCGGUGUUUGUUCUGGAGCUCAACUGUGAGUAUAUUAGAUUAACGUGGUUGGCUGCUGUUCGCUGUGUGUCUGUCGCGGCUGGAUUAUGCUUCUCGAACUUUCCAGAGAAGUCUGCGUAGUUUAUUUUUAGACGUCUACGAAUGUUUUCGAGCCCACCUCCCAGCAGGACUUUGGAUCUAGCAGCUAGCUUGUUUUUUAACGCACGUUUUAGAUCCGGGAGACUUGUGAAUUCAGCCUACAGUCGCCCACAGAUGAGACGUUGGCGUGCGUUUGUAGAGGUGUAACUCCGGCCGUAGCUGUGUGUUUGUUAGCAGUGAGUGUGCGUCGGCGUCGUGCGUGUCGGACCACAGAGAGGUUUGUCUUGCGUUGAGGGAGAUCUGGCUGUUGUUGCGUUGAAUAUUGAAUCAGUGGUUCUGCUUCUUGUAUGUGUGACGAUGAUGAUGAUAAUAAUAAUGACGACGAUAAUAAUGAGUUCUCCUGUACAGGGGUCUAUUUAAAUCUGUUCAUGAAUAUUCAGUUUGUCGAUAAGAUAAUAUGGUUUGUGUAAAUUUCCACUCUCUGGCGGGUGCUCUCCAGUUAAAAAUGUACUUUGUUAUCCUGUUAAAAUGAGAUUGUUUAAUUCACAUGUUGUGUCUAACCGAUUUGCAAAGAGAAGCUGAGUGUUAUAUUCUCAAGACUGCUAGGCUAACUGUCUCUAUCUCUUCUCCUUGUCUUUCUGUCUCUGUCCGUCUCCACGUUGCCGCGUUAAAAAGUCAGCGGGAUUUCUCAACGCGUCUGGUGAGGCGCGUUGAGCGGUUCCCGCCACUUGUUAGCGUGGCGGCGGCGAGGCGAGGAGAGCUGUAGUGAGGGGGUUUUACUCCCCGAAAAAUGAUUUAAAAACACCGGAGUGGACGGCGGCUCGGUGUCCGGUUCUGUAGGCUCAGUGCUUGAACCCGUACUGGGUCUAAACCAGUAACCAACUGGUCCCAACGUUCCAGAACCAGGACCGGACACAGCGUCGCCGGCCCACUCCGGUUUAGAUCUUCCUAGCCCCGAUCCCUCGUCCUGAAGGGGGGGCGUGGAGCUUUUUGGUUUCAUGGUUUCUGUUGUUUUUCUAAUGGACCGACGUCCUAACUGUAACCUGCAGAUUUUUCUAUUAGAUUCUAUUGACAGAUAGAGUUGUGUAUGAACCCGAGCCACGAGACUGUCGGUGGCCGAGGAAGAGGAAGAUGGAUGAUGAUGAUUAACAUGAGGGCUAAUAAACAGGCUCAUUCUUUCUGA